UCUCGAUAGUGUAAAAGUUAACUCAAAUUUGUAUGGAAUUGAAAUGUUUGCGAACGUUUGCCGCUAGGGGCGCUGUUACAAUUGCAUACAAAUUUGAGUUAACUUUAACGCUAUCGA
rnacentral:pre_miRNA from 9 species